GCCAUGCCGCGUGCAGGAUGACGGUCCUAUGGAUUGUAAACUGCUUUUGCACAGGAAGAAACACUCCGACGUGUCGGAGCUUGACGGUACUGUGAGAAUAAGGAUCGGCUAACUCCGUGCCAGCAGCCGCGGUAAUACGGAGGAUCCAAGCGUUAUCCGGAAUCAUUGGGUUUAAAGGGUCCGUAGGCGGUCUUGUAAGUCAGUGGUGAAAGCCCAUCGCUCAACGGUGGAACGGCCAUUGAUACUGCAGGACUUGAAUUAUUGGGAAGUAACUAGAAUAUGUAGUGUAGCGGUGAAAUGCUUAGAGAUUACAUGGAAUACCAAUUGCGAAGGCAGGUUACUACCAAUUUAUUGACGCUGAUGGACGAAAGCGUGGGUAGCGAACAGGAUUAGAUACCCUGGUAGUCCACGCCGUACACGAUGGAUACUAGCUGUUGGGAGCAAUCUCAGUGGCUAAACGAAAGUGAUAAGUAUCCCACCUGGGGAGUACGAACGCAAGUUUGAAACUCAAAGGAAUUGACGGGGGCCCGCACAAGCGGUGGAGCAUGUGGUUUAAUUCGAUGAUACGCGAGGAACCUUACCAAGGCUUAAAUGCAGACUGACCGAUUUGGAAACAGAUCUUU
rnacentral:rRNA from 1 species